rnacentral:rRNA from 1 species
CCUACGGGUGGCUGCAGUGGGGAAUAUUGGACAAUGGGGGGAACCCUGAUCCAGCCAUGCCGCGUGUGUGAAGAAGGCCCUCGGGUUGUAAAGCACUUUCAGUGAGGAAGAACGCCUGGUGGUUAAUACCCAUCAGGAAAGACAUCACUCACAGAAGAAGCACCGGCUAACUCCGUGCCAGCAGCCGCGGUAAUACGGAGGGUGCGAGCGUUAAUCGGAAUUACUGGGCGUAAAGCGCGCGUAGGUGGCUUGAUAAGCCGGUUGUGAAAGCCCCGGGCUCAACCUGGGAACGGCAUCCGGAACUGUCAAGCUAGAGUGCAGGUGAGGAAGGUAGAAUUCCCGGUGUAGCGGUGAAAUGCGUAGAGAUCGGGAGGAAUACCAGUGGCGAAGGCGGCCUUCUGGACUGACACUGACACUGAGGUGCGAAAGCGUGGGUAGCAAACAGGAUUAGAUAACCCGGUAGUC